AUCAUGCCAUGUAAUCAUAACAGAGUUCUGCCAGGUAAUUGUUUACCAAUCUGAAUGGAGUGUUUGCUUUCAGCAGUUACGUAGAACCACUUGAACAUGCUGCCAUGGCAGCUAAUCCAGGCUGGUAUAGAAAGGAGAAGGAAGGUUGUGUGUACAGGUCACUUGCAGAUGCCUGGGAAGGUCUAUGUCCCUUGAGAAAGAAAUGCCUUCCAACACUGUCUUCAUAAACUAACUGGACACAGGACCCAAAGGUUAUGGAUGUCAGCUGGACAGUAGGAAGAGAGCACGUCUGAUGCCGAGAAAGGACAGAUUAUUUUGCUUUUCUGCUCUCAUUCCUCAUCAUGGGAAUGAUUUGUGUUUGCCAGAAAGAACUGUCAAAGGCUUGUGAGCUCAUAAUAUGUGUGUAAGAUAUGUCCACUGUAAAGAUACUGGAAAUAAACUUGUAACAUGACUUGCAAAUAUGGCUUUGAAGUUAAGACAGG